rnacentral:lncRNA from 1 species
GUUUAAUAAGUGAUACUUUUUUAUCAAUGAACAGAAUCAAACUGUAUGACACACUAUCGGAAAAAAGUGUAUUGUCAAUUUGAACUGAUAGCUUGAAUUGUAGUUUGAUAUGAAGGUACAAUGAGACCAGAAAAACUGAUAAUAUGAAGAAAAAAACACUAGAAAAUAGAAAAAAAACCGGAAAAAGUCAAAAAGUCAAAAGGUCAAACCAUUGGAUGACACGAAUCCAAGCAAAACAUGACAAAACAUAAAUUUACAAAAUCUCCAAACUGCAAAGAAAAUUCAAAUAAAGAAGUCAGUCAAAUGACAAAAUCAAAAACUUCAACACAUUAAACGAAUGUAAAAUAACUGUCAUAUUCUUAAGUCGAUAAAGGCAUUUGCUUAUAUAGCAAAAUGGAUUAAAACUGGUUUUGUAGCUAGCCACAUGAAAACCUCUCACUC